rnacentral:rRNA from 1 species
ACUGACGCUCAUGCACGAAAGCGUGGGUAUCGAACAGGAUUAGAUACCCUGGUAGUCCACGCGGUAAACGAUGAUAACUAGUUAUCCGGGGCGAUUGGGUCCUGGGUGACCGAGCGAAACCGUUAAGUUAUCCACCUGGGGAGUACGCCGGCAACGGUGAAACUCAAAGGAAUUGACGGGGGCCCGCACAAGCGGAGGAACAUGUGGUUUAAUUCGAUGAUACGCGAGGAACCUUACCCGGGCUCAAACGCAGUGCGACAGACCCUGAAAGGGGUUUUUCUUCGGACGCGCUGCGAGGUGCUGCAUGGUUGUCGUCAGCUCGUGCCGUGAGGUGUCGGCUUAAGUGCCAUAACGAGCGCAACCCCCAUCUUCAGUUGCCAUCGGUUAAAGCCGGGCACUCUGGAGAGACUGCCGGCGCAAGCUGUGAGGAAGGCGGGGAUGACGUCAAAUCAGCACGGCCCUUACGUCCGGGGCGACACACGUGUUACAAUGGCGGGGCACAGCGGGAAGCCAGGCGGCGACGCCGAGCUGAUCCCGAAAACCCGUCUCAGUUCGGAUCGGAGUCUGCAACCCGACUCCGUGAAGCUGGAUUCGCUAGUA